GGCUUGCAUCCUGACCGGCUCCUCAGAGUCACCAAUCAGAGACGCGCUCUCCUCUCUCAGACCCUCACAGCGGGUUCAGGAGCCGCGGCUCAUUUUUUUCCUCCUCUUCUUCUUCUUCUUGAAAUAAAAAAAGGAGCAAAAGGGAAAAACAACAGCCGCGCGCACUUUAUGACCAAAUUGGAAAUAUUUUUACGUGGCGAGAGCUAAAACUGAAUGUUGGAUUUCUUUAUUAUCUUUUUCUCUCUUCAUUUUGCAGUUUUUGUAUUAAAAGAGAGAAAUGAAACGCCCGGAUUUCAUUUCAUAGCCAAUAAUAAUAAUUAUAAUAAUAAUGAUGAUAAUAAAAACAGAUUCAGCUCCAGUUCUAUGGUAGGAAAAAUAAGAAACAUUAUUGUUUUUUUAACGUAUAUAUUUUUCUUCCUAAACGUCGUUUUAAAGUUGCAAAUAUUUGUUUAAAGCUCCGAUUACGAUUUUAAAUUACAGGCGUAAAAUAUAACUGAAAAAUAAAUAAAUUUAAAAAAAAAUAAAUAACUGCGGAAAGAUAAGCGGCACCUGACGUGAAUCCGGGCGGAGAUUUUUUUUUUUUUUUUUUUUCCCUGAAGAAGGUCGAGCGGUGGAGCGGUGACUGCCAUGACAGCACAUCCUGUUAAUAACCACGUCACCCUAAUUAGUAAAGUAAUUAUGAGGCGCUAAUGAGCGUUCAGAGGCAGUAGGAAAUUCAGCACUUUUCGCCUCGUUCCGACGUGGAUUUGAAGGAUGUUGAACCGAGGAUUUAAAAAAAAAAGAAAGAAGAAGAAGAAGAAGAAGAAGCUGACAGAGAGUCUGUAGAGAGAGCAGCGCGGCUCUCACUGCUCAGGAAGCGCAAACAUGGAAUUUCUUGAAUUCUACUGUUUCUGCCGAAUUUCAGGAAAAAUAUGGAUAAAUUAAUUCCGUUUUUUUUCUAGGCUUUUAUUAUUAUUAUUAUUAUUAUUAUUAUUAUUAUUAUUAUUAUUAUUAUUGCAGUAACCAUCGUUGUGUUUUUCCUCCAGCAGGUUCGCAGAGGAGAAAUGGAGCCUUUACUUGCUGGAGUUGAGAAGCUGAAUCUCGGAUUUGAAGCCUCCCUCACAAGAGGCGCUGGCAGAGAUCGACCACAAGGCGGCGACAAACCGAGGCCAAAGUCCGCCUGAUUUGGAGCAGAGCAGCGCGCGCCUGGCCGCGGCUGCCCUUUAAUAAGCAACAGCGACUCGUUUCACCUCCGCAGUUCAUCCGCAGUUCUCUUCUGAACGCUUAUUGUGCGCUUAGAAAAACACCGGCAGGAUAUCAUGAGCGGGACGCUUGAUCCACGCACACAAUGCUGAGCCAGUCAGAACAUCCGGUAAUCAGAAAACCCCUCAAUCUCCACAAACCGCCCAGGUCAGAUCAAAGCGAUGCUUAAACACGUCAGUCAGUGUGCGGACAGGCGCAGAGGCUGCGCAUCAUCCCGCAAACAGGAGCAAUCAAUCUCUUUAUUAGGGCUCCCCUCCCCUUCUUUUCUUUUCUUUCUUUCUUUUUUUUUUUUUUUUGGUCGCCGCAGGAGCAAAUUGAAAGCUACCAGUUACCAGAACCGCCUUAUUGGCCUCAGCUGAUGGUCGAUGAUGGGACGGUGCGCACACACACGCACGAGCGCGCGCGGAUUUACACACAUAGUGGCUGCUGGCACCACAUCGAUUCUCUGGCGGCGGUGCGUGGAAGCUGUCACUUCUCCGCCGGCGACCUUUGCGGGUCUGCACAGUUGCGGCGUUUACAGAGAGACGCCCCCGCGUUUAGACUGUCAGGCGGUGAGGGGUCGGAUGGCCGCACGAGCGUCCUCACGCGCGCGCGCACGUUCGGGAGGCUUUGCUGAAGUUUUAAGCAAAGUGCUAAAAAUCACCUUAGAGUUUGAGUCAGUGAAAGUCCCCGCAUGAUUAUUUAGCCAAAAUUAAAACUAUACUAAAAUAAAUACAUAAAUAAACAAUAAUAAUAAUAAUAAUAAUAAUAAUAAUAAUAAUAAUAAUAAUAAUAAUAAUAAUAAUAACAAAAGGUGCAAUUUGCUAAUAUUUUAAAUAACCCUAUUUGGGAAGAUUUUAUUGGAGAGGUCUCAUUUAAACUUUUAACCUCAAAAUAACUUUUUUUAAAGCAUGUAACUCAACAAAAUUGGUUAAAACCUCAAAAAAAUUUUAAAGAUAAUUUAAUUUUAUUAAAUAAAUUAAUCAAAUAAGUUGGUUCUAAAUAUUAUAUGUUAUUAGUCACCCAAACUGUAAUGCAGCAAAAAAAAUAGAGCAUUUAUGUUUUAUGAAUUAUGAAUGGAAAAACAAAACAUAUGCACCAUCAUAACAACAGAACACUGCCACAUUAUAUGAAUCUACCCAAUCCAUUUCUUGAUCUGGAUUUUACAUUGCAUGACCCCACUGACAUAUAUAUGGUAAUAUUAGUGGCCUAAUCAUUCUAAUACACUUAAUUCAGUUUUAUGGAAAUCAUGUCGAAUCAUAACUCAAGUUGAUAUGGUGGAGAGAAAAAUGGUCAUAUCACAAAGAUAGCACACAGAUUCACCAGAAUGUAAAUAGUGAGUGAUGUUUGGAGGGAGGAAACACUUCCCCAAAUCCAUAACCAUUUAAUAUACACUUUUAAAAACAUUCAAGCUCAGGUUUGUCAACAGUUUUUGCUGCACAGAGAUUCACUGGAUCCUCCUUGGCAGUAGAACCACGACUAGCAACACGUUCCCUCAUGCCAUGCUAACAGGAAUCAAACAAAUCAGUAGUGGUCUGUGAAUACGGCACAAAAUGUUGAUAAAAUAGUGUUUAAAUUAUUUCAAUUAAAUCUCUCCCCUCACGACCAAAGCUAAUCUGUUCCUUAGCAACAACUCCUAAAGAAUCUCAUCUUGCUAGCAUGUUUGGUGUUAGCGUCAGCAUCUGUGGCUAAACUAGCUGCAGAUAAACUUCAGCUCUCACUCCAACACGGAAACUUUAUCCAUCACAAGUCUUCUUUUUAAUAUCAGUCCCAAUUAAAUCAAUAUUAACAUAUUGGCCUUGUUGUUCUCUGUUGUACAACAGACAUGCUAAGCUAACUGGCUGACUGAACCAACAGCUGCAGUUAAAUCAAAAUGUUUAGGCACCAAAACGCAACUUUCAUAAAAGAUUAUAUUUCUGAACUAAUACCCAAAAUCAAAGUGUAAAUAUUUUGAAUGGGUAAAGUUAAAUAAAAUCUUAAAAUAAAUGUUUAUAGUGUGGAUUCCAUGUCUUUUUCCAUCAACAUUUUCAUGCCAACAUUCAUAUAUUCAGUCUCUUUUAGCAGAGAUGUAAACAACAGAAGCUCAUCGGCAUAAAAUAAAUUCAUUUUGUUUGUUUCAGAAUGAGUAGAAAACAUUUUUAUUUUUCUUCUUAAGAAGCUUUAAUUAUAAAAUUAUGCCAGCAAUUUCUUUGAAAUUAAAUAUUACAAAAAAAGAAUGUAUUUCAUAAAAACUAUUCAAAUCCACUAAAUUUGAGCCGUAAAAACUAAACGUUUUCACCAACAUAUUCAACCUGAUUUUUUUUUCUUCUCAAUUUUGUUCUAGCUUCUCCAGUGCCAACUAUAUAUCCCAUCCUACAAUAGUUAGCAGUCAUGUGGUUGGACCUGAGCAAAUAAAAGAGGUCAAAAUGUAAAGAAAGAAAUCAGAUUUGGGGAACUCAUGAUCAAACCUAAAACAUGACUCGUGGGGAGAAAAGUGCCGCUUCAUGGACGCCUGUGUGUGUGUGAGGGAAUCAAAGCGCUGCACUCAUCAGCUCACGGCGGCAGGAAAAAUAGCUGGAGUGUCAAGAGUCAGCGUGAGGGCCGCAACUGACCGCCCCGUCAAACUUGUCCUUGACAGAUGGUCGGGGGCGGGCGGGGGUGAGGGUGGAGCAGGUUUAUAUUGAUUAAAAGAUACAAACCAGACAUGCAGUGUAACGGUAUGCAAUGAGGUCAGUGUCCAAUCAAACCUCUAUUUUUCUCUUAUUCCUUCUCCUGAUGUCGUUUUAUGUAACAAAAUACAUAAAUGGUUUCUUGUGUGUUGCAGGAACGUUUUCAGCUCUUCAGACCUAAAACUUUCCAACCAAGUCGGAGAAUCAGCCUGUUACAGCAACAACACCAACAUAUUCAAUGUUGUUUUGCCUUUUAUUUCAGAGUGUUUGUGUUGUCGGGGUAAGCACUGAUGGUCACCAGAGCGACAAACAGCUCAGGGCCGGCUAUACAAGGAUGGGGGCCCCUGGGCUGGAGCCGGUUUUGGUGCCACACUGCUCUACUGUUACAAAUUACAAUACAUCUAUAGGUAGUCCCAUACAGGAAAUGAUGCAUGGUGUGUUUAAUAUGUUAAGCAGUAGUUCCAUAAUCUUCCCAAAAAAAAUUACUAACACUCUGAACUACUUUAGUAUUGUAUAUAUUUAUAAAAAUUCAAAAAAUAUCAAUGAAAUUCAUCUGAUAUGCACUUAUGAGUUUUAUAUAAAGGACAAUGCAAACACAUAUCUAAAAAAAGAAAGAAAAAAAAGAAGAAGAAUUAGGGACUUUGGGCUGCAUUUGUAUUAAUCUCCCUUUUACUCUGUUGCCCCUAAAUUCAGAAGUCCUGUGUGUAGUUUGAGCUCACAGAUGCUCCGUGAAGCCGUGAAGAGGUUUGUAAGACAACAGAGAAUAAUAAGUUGUCAUGUUUUAAAAAAAGGUAAAUAAAGUAAGUUUGACAAACUUUAUUCAAUUACAUGCAACAAAUUAAGUGAAUCUUUUUUAAAGGUGCAGCUCUACUCUCUCUUUCCAGUGUGCGCACGUUUCCACAUGAGAUACUGAUGCGCGCUACAUUCAUGGAGGGAAUGUAACACCCGCGUUAGGUUGUAUCAUUUCUGGGCUGCUAAAAAUAAGCACCUUAGCAUAUUUUUAACUAUUUACUGCCACAACAAAAUAUUCAAAGAAUCCCAAAUGUUGAGCUUCCCUCCUCCUGCUGUCAGAGGAGCAGGAUCAGAGAUGCGCAGGAAGUGGAGAACACAUUGAUUCGAGCACGCUCCAAACACGGGCCGGCCCUGACAAGGUUGUUAUAACAGUCGGUGGGGUCUAUACAAUCGCUUAAUCACCAAAGCUGUCAGUCAAACGGGGGCCGCUGCUGGCUCCAUGCAUGGCUGCGAGCGGCGUUCCACUAGCAGCCUCCCUGAGUGAUUGAUCCGUGCUGAUGGCAUCGCAGAAAUAAUUACAAGUCGUCUCCUGAUGUGUGAUUCCGCAGCACGUUCACGCUUCACGAAGGUAAUCGGGAGGGAUCAGGAGGGGUCAGUGCCAUUUCCUAUUACCUGGAGUCCGAGCAACAAAAAAAAAAGAAAAAAAAAAGGG